rnacentral:rRNA from 1 species
GACGAACGCUGGCGGCGUGCCUAAUACAUGCAAGUAGAACGCUGAAGGAGGAGCUUGCUUUUACGGAUGAGUUGCGAACGGGUGAGUAACGCGUAGGUAACCUGCCUGGUAGCGGGGGAUCACUAUUGGAAACGAUAGCUAAUACCGCAUCAGAGUAGAUGUUGCAUGACAUUUGCUUAAAAGGUGCAAUUGCAUCACUGCCAGAUGGACCUGCGUUGUAUUAGCUAGUUGGUGAGGUAACGGCUCACCAAGGCGACGAUACAUAGCCGACCUGAGAGGGGGGACGGCCACACUGGGACUGGGGCACGGCCCAGGCUCCUACGGGAGGCAGCAGUAGGGGAUCUUCGGCAAUUGACGGAAGGCUGAACGAGCAAAGCCGCGGGAGUGAAGAAGGGUCUCGGAGCGUAAAGCUCUUUUGUAAGGGAAGAACGAGUGUGUGAGUAAAAAGUGCAGACAGUGACGGUAGCGUACCAGAAAGGGACGGCUAACUACGUG